UACAGAGGUCCCAAGCGUUGUUCAGAUUUAUUGGGCGUAAAGGGCUCGUAGGCGGUUUGUCGCGUCGGGAGUGAAAACCUCGGGCUUAACUCGGGGCUUGCUUUCGAUACGGGCAGACUAGAGGUAUGCAGGGGAGAACGGAAUUCCUGGUGUAGCGGUGAAAUGCGUAGAUAUCAAGAGGAACACCUGAGGUGAAGACGGGUUGCUGGGCUGACACUGACGCUGAGGCGCGAAAGCCAGGGGAGCAAACGGG
rnacentral:rRNA from 1 species